UACGGAAGGCAGCAGUGGGGAAUAUUGCACAAUGGGCGCAAGCCUGAUGCAGCCAUGCCGCGUGUAUGAAGAAGGCCUUCGGGUUGUAAAGUACUUUCAGCGGGGAGGAAGGCGAUGCGGUUAAUAACCGCGUCGAUUGACGUUACCCGCAGAAGAAGCACCGGCUAACUCCGUGCCAGCAGCCGCGGUAAUACGGAGGGUGCAAGCGUUAAUCGGAAUUACUGGGCGUAAAGCGCACGCAGGCGGUCUGUUAAGUCAGAUGUGAAAUCCCCGGGCUUAACCUGGGAACUGCAUUUUGAAACUGGCAGGCUUGAGUCUUGUAGAGGGGGUAGAAUUCCAGGUGUAGCGGUGAAAUGCGUAGAGAUCUGGAGGAAUACCGGUGGCGAAGGCGGCCCCUGGGCAAAGCUGACGCUCAGGUGCGAAAGCGUGGGGAGCGAAACAGGGAUUAGGAUACC
rnacentral:rRNA from 1 species